rnacentral:lncRNA from 1 species
CCAGAAGAAAAUUGCAUAGAGAAUUGAAUAAAUAAUAGUACGUACCAAAAUUUGGAAGUGCGGAAAAGGUCCGAUAAACUUGAGGAUGAUGAGAAGAAGAACGAGAUAGACAAGCAUUUGCAGUCCAUAAUACAUUUCGUACAAUCUUCAUCUUGUCUGUAAUGACGGAAAAUCACUUCACCUUACAACCGGCGGCGGCGGGCGGCGGGCGGCGGGCGGCGGAAGACAGCGGCGGUUAAAAAGGGAAUUUGCCGAUUUGGUUUUGCUAGUGUUUGGGAAUUGAUGAAUAGAACUCUUGAGGCUAAACUGAAGGGGUUUGAAAAUUGGGCUGUGGGUAAGUAAUUGGGCUAG